GUAGCAGCUCCGACCCACUUAUGUGCAGAGAACUUCAUGAAGGAAUUCUUGGGGGCUCCUGUUACAUCAGUUAAAUGUGUAGCUUAACAACUGGGUUUGGAGAUGGUUUGAUCUCCAAAGUUCAUGUAUCAGAAGUGUGGUCCUCAGUGUGGACAUAUAAAGAAGUAGUGGGACCUUUAAGAGAUGGGGCAUUGUGGAUGGAGGUUAGGUCAUUGAGGGUGCUGCUCUCAGAAGAGAUAUGUAGUUCUUGUGGGUCCCCAGUUAGUUUCUGAGAGAGGAAUUAUGAAAUAACAAGCCUAGCCCCUCUGGCUUCUGUGUCUCUAUGUUAGCUCUCCCUCCUGCACAUGUUUGUACUGUGAUGUGGUCCAUCAUGAUGGGAUGCAGCCAAGGAGCCUCUCACCAGAGGCUGAAACAAUAAACUACACUGAGAUUCCAUCUCACUCCAGUCAGAAUGGCAACUGUCAAGAAUAUAAGUAACAAUAAAUGUUGGUGAGGAUGAGGGGGAAAAGGAACACUCAGACAUUGCUGGUGGGACUGCAAAUUGGAGCAACCACUCUGGAAGGCAGUAUGGAGAUUCCUCAAAAUCUAGGCAUGGAACCACCAUUUGACCCAGUAAUCCCACUCCUUGGCAUAUAUCCAAAGGAUUUAAAAUCAUGAUACUACAGUGACACAGCAAUGUUUAUAGCAGCACAAUUCACAAUAGCUAAGCUAUGGAACCUAACUCGGUGCCCUUCAAAAGAUGAAC
rnacentral:lncRNA from 1 species